rnacentral:lncRNA from 1 species
CUCUUCUCUUUCCCUCUGGCUGCUCUCCUCCCCUCUCCUCCCUCCUUCUCUCUCCCCCCUCCCUUCUUCCCUCCCCUCCCUUUUUCAGCAUCUCCCCUACCCUUUCUUUCUCUUCUCUCCCUCUCUCCCCUCCCUCUCUCCCCCUCCCGCUCUCUUCUCCCUCUCCCUACAAGUCUGGCACUGAAGGAGAACUGUUUUGCUUUGCUCCGGGAAGAGUGCAGACACGACGUGAAAUCCGGAGCUCUUUGCGUGGUGCAUUUAAAAUGCUUCCUUAUUUAUAUUACCCUCAUCCCCUCCCCUCUCCCACCCCCUCACCAGCCCUUCCAAAUUUCCCUAGAAAUCUGUGUAAAGCGUGGAGGGGAAAACAUUUGCAUAAAAAGUGAAGGAGCACGCCAAGGAGUUCCCGCUUGGGUGGUCAAGCCCGUCCUGAUACUGAAUGGUACAGUGAGGAGUGGCCACCCAAGGGAGGCAGUCUCGGAGGUCACAGGAGCUGAUAAGCCUGGAUGAAAGAUCACAGGAGUUCCAGGAACUCCGUUACUUGCAUGGAGAGGAAGUUUGCAAGAGAAUUUGGCAGUUCUGCUGGAUCAAGCAAAUAAAGAUUGGCAACUGGAGCUAGAGCUGGAUUUGACAACUGGAUGUGAGAAUCGAACCAAAGCUCCCUGUGUCCACCUGGUUGGCAGAGUGCUUCCCCAGCACAGAAGGAACUGGUACACACGUGGGAUUCAAGCACUCAGGAGCUGGAGGCAGAGCACCAGAAGCUCAGGUAUAAGGGGUUCAGGGUCAGCCUAGGGCACAUGAGAUCCUGCCGAAAGCAACAACCAAACUCAACGUGCUGAACUAUAUUCAGCUGAAGAUCAGAUAGUGCAGUGGAUGGCAGAGCUGUUAAGAACAGGUAAUGAAGACUUGGACCCUUGUCUCAAUUGUUAAGCUAUGAUAGUAUUCUUAAAAACAUCCAACUUCUAUAGAGUUCCCUAAUUAUGAAAAUUUCUUUUAUACAGUUUAGUACUCCUGGUUUUGCUGUGCAAAUUGAAUGUGGAUUUGUAGAAAUUUGUACCAAAAUGUAGAAAAACUGCCAAAGAACUUCAAUGGAAAUCUUUAUGUACUAUUACAAUGAAAUGCUGUUAAUUCAUGUUGCUUACAUUAAAGACUAUUUUCAACUUUAAAUAUUUUAAAUAAAUGAUUCUGAAGUCCCA